UCCCACGCCUUCUUAUCCACUCAUUUUUUUUCAUCCCCACUCUUCUCUCACAUCUCGCUGCCACUUCCACCACUCGCACCAUGCGGCCGCACAUUCUACCAUGCGCGAGCCGCUCCCCCCUCUUUUUUCUCCUCCCUCUCCGCUGCGACCCACACGCCCUCCAUGCCGCCGGAGUAGAGCACGACGGUGACAGCUUUCAGUGAGCGGCGCAACUCCCUUCCUCCCUGCUCUUUUCUCUCUCGCUCUCGUGACCUCCAUGCAUCUGGAGAUGGAGACAACGACGCAGCUCCGACGAGGUAGGUGGGGAGGGAUUUGGAUCCGAAGCCUUUCUCUCCCUUUUCUCUCUCUCCUCUUAUGGAUCCGGAUCUGAGCCCUCCUCUGCUCCUCCUCCACCUCUUGCUCCUCCUGCUUUUCCUCUGGAUCUAGAUCUAUGGGAUAUUGUGUUGGCUAGGGUUUCGGUGAGCUCUUGGGAUUCAGUGCUCGUACGUGUUGUAAUGGUGUUCUCUGGUUUUUUGCAGUAUAUUUUUCAGGUGAUGUUGCAGUAGGAUAGGGUUCCGGCGAGCUCUCGGGUUCAGAUCUCGUCAUUGUUGCAAUGGUUCUAUCUAGACGUUGCAUUAGGUUUUAGUCGUUGUUGCAGUUUUGUGUUUUGAGAUGUUGUUUCAGUUGCUUCAGUCUGCAUAUUGUAGUAGUUUGUUUUAUGUUGUUACAACAUUUGUUCGGUGUUGUUGUAGUACUAUGUCCAUGGUGUUUUAGUUGCUCCAUCCAAUGCUUUAAUCUGCACUGUUGUAUUAGUUGUUGCAUGUUGUUGCAACAGUUGGUCGAUGUUGUUGUAAUACUAUGUCUAUGGUGUUUCGGUUGCUCCAUCCAAUGCUUCAACCUAUGUUGUUGUAUUAGUUGUUACAUGUUGUUGCAACAACCGUUCUUUGUUGUUGUAAUACUAUAUUUAUGGUGUUUCAGCUAUUCAAUCCAAUACUUCAAUCUGUAUGUUGUAGCAGUUGUUUGCAUGCUGUUGCAGCAGUUGUUCUUGUUUGUUGUAAUAUGAUGUUUAUGAUGUUUCAGCUACUUCAACUUGUUUGUUGUAGCAGUAUGUUAGGUGUUGUUGCACUAUUAUACAUAUUGUGUUGCAGCGUCAAGUGUGGGAAUAGGUUGUAGGGACGAGUUAGCGGCAGGCAGAUCUGCUAGGGGCUGACAAAGCGAGGGGUAGGGCGGAUCCCAUGCUCAUAGGGGCGGAGGAUGGGCUCCUUGCGCGGGAAACGGACGAAGUGCGGUCCUCUGCGUGGGGCGAGCGGGGUAGGGGUAAGUUGGUUGGGAGGGAGCGGAUAAGAAAUAGUCUUCCAGGCGGAGCGAGUGGGGCAGAGGUGAGUUGGUUAGAGACGGAUGGGGUUUUCUUUUUUUUUCUGUGACGCGGGUGGGGGGCUCGGCGUCCGGACGCGUUGUUGGCGCCGGACGUCCGGGCGCUAGCAGUUCCGCAUUUAUAGUGGUGCACACAAGCAUAGCCUUGUAGUAACAUCACCAUUUGAGAGCUUAUUAACAUGGUAAAAAAAGGUUACUUAAUGCUACACUAUUUUUCUACCAUGGUGCCCAUGCACCACUAUAGAUGAACGUACCGUUAUUGUCCUCUCCCAGCUCCAGUCCAGGUACGGCCACUCUCCUUCCCCGCUCUUCCCUUGCCUCCAUCCGACACCUACGGGAGGUGCAGCAUGGCAGGCCCAAGCUCCGGCUGUUAGAUAUGACACCUUCUCGCCUGAUGGACCAUCGCUCGUCUCAUCUCAAAAAAAAGUGUCGUUUUAGAAUUUGAGAUAUCGUUUUGGAUCAUUCGUCUUAUUAAAAUUUUUUACAUAAAUAUUAUAUAUUUUGUUAAGACUUAUUUAUUAUUAGAGAUACUUUACUAAUGAUUUAUUUAUUUUAUAAUUUGUAAAAAAAAUUUGAAUAAAACGAAUGGUCAACUAAAAGUUUAAAAUAUCACCUUUUUAGAGACGGAGGGAGUAGUUGUUUAAAAGUUCCACUGACCGUGUGCUACUUGGACUUGGACAGUUUGACGACAAUGAAUGGCUCCGUUGGUUCAUAUGAUUGGGUCAAUGACAACUUCAUUGGUUCUUAGUGAUAAUCCAAGCCAAAUGACACAUGAACCCUUAGCCCUCCUUGUUUGUGUUAAGGAUUGGUUGUACAAGUCCCACAG
rnacentral:lncRNA from 1 species